ensembl:processed_transcript Gm17066 predicted gene 17066
AAAAUGAAACAGACCAUUCCAGAUGGUGAUCUGCUUACCCCCUAUCAAAAAGAGUUAUAAUCACUAAAUAAUAAUGGUUACUGGUACCUUUACAAUAAUGUGCAAUCCAAUGUUUAAAAUUUAUACCACUUCAGUUUGGCUUGAUCAUAUAAAUUUUCAACAGAUGUCUUAAAAUUUAAAAGCAGGCUGAUUAGUUUGGAACCAGACUUCAAGUAGCGCUAACAUUUGGUGAAUAAGACAACUUCAUAUUACAUUUUGGAUGUAUGAAAGAAAACUUGACCAUUUGAAGAUGUAUGAAUAAAGAAAUGUACUAUAGAUACUACUUUAGGAAAACCCUGUUUGUAGUCGUGAAAGAUGCCAAAUUGGCAGAGGCUCACGUUUCUUCUCUUUACACCAAACAGAGAGAGAACAUCACUGCCUGAAUUUAGCUUUGUGACUACAUGAGCAAGCCCUCUUUGUCCUGUCUGGAGACGACUGUUAAUAAUAGCAUCUUGUCAUUUGGUUUGCUCUCUAUCAAUCUGAAUAGAUGUUUACAUGGACCGUGAUGACCAUUUUAUCUUUACAGUUCUGUACAAGUCCAUCUGAGUCCAGACGUGUAUCAAAUGUGUGAGGUUUAUGACCUUAUUUAGAAAUGUUUUCUUCCCUUCAUAGCAAUUUAAUUUGUAAAACACCUUUAAGGAACAAGGCCUUUUAGUUUCCUUAUGAGAUGUAUUAUGUCUCAGGCAAACUGAGAGAUAUGUUUGGGAAAUCUAUAAAGCCAUGAGAGCAUUAAUUGAACAAUUUAGAAUGAAGAAA